CGAACGCUGGCGGCAUGCUUAACACAUGCAAGUCGAGGGGCCCUUCGGGGUCACUGGCGCACGGGUGAGUAACACGUAGGUCAUCUGCCCCUAUCACAGACAUAACUCCGGGAAACCGGUGCUAAUAUCUGAUGAGGUCGCGAGAUCAAAGCUUCGGCGGAUAGGGAUGAGCCUGCGGCUGAUUAGCUAGUUGGUGAGGUAAUGGCUCACCAAGGCGACGAUCAGUAGCUGGUCUGAGAGGACGAACAGCCACACUGGAACUGAGACACGGUCCAGACUCCUACGGGAGGCAGCAGUGGGGAAUUUUCCGCAAUGGGCGAAAGCCUGACGGAGCAAUACCGCGUGAGGGAAGACUGCCUAUGGGGUUUGUAAACCCUCUUUUUUCAGGGAGGAAUAAAAUGACGUGUACCUGAAGAAUAAGCAUCGGCUAACUCCGUGCCAGCCG
rnacentral:rRNA from 1 species